UAAGAAUUUAGGUUCAAGCUUCUAACUUGAAUGAGGGGAGUUUUUCUCCAUUCUUAU
rnacentral:tRNA from 1 species